UAUAGGCUGAUUUGAAAUUAAAUACCAAUUCGUAGAUGUGUGAGCUGAGUUGAAUUCAUUUGACUGUAUGGAAUUUGCACUGUUUACCAUCUUUUGUUUAUAUUUAUAUGUAUAUGCUAAAUCUUGUUCAGUCGAAAUUCGCAGCCUGGACAUUGAGAUAGACAACUUGGAAAUUUGAAAUAGACAACUUUCCAAUUACUCCAUCGUGGGUCUAAUUGUCGAAAUAAUUAAAUGCUCCAACUUGUAAUAUUUUGAAGUGGACGAAUUUCCAAUUACUCCAGCCUGUGUCUAAUUGUCGAAAUAACUAAAUGAUUCAGCCUGUAAUGCGACAUAUUUCGAAUUGCACUAUCGAUUUCUUAAAUCAAUUGUUCUCCAGCCUGGUCAAGAAAUUGAAGAAAGGGGUGUUCCUCCCGUCUGGUCCAAAUGAAGAAGAAAAGGGGAGUAUCUUUUCUCUCUCCCAUCUCAUUUUCUCUUUCUCGUUCCAUUCUCUCUCAUCUGGUUCGAAAAAGAGGGGAGACAUCCCUCUCUUCCCGUCUCACUUCCCCGUCGACAAAAAACGACAGCCGCCUUCAUUUUGCCGGCGCCGUUCAGAUCCUGGCUCCGCCGGAAGGAGGGCCGCUGCGGUGGCGGUCGUAACUGCUUCGAGUAGGGAUGAUUUGGCGGCGGUUGGUGCCUAGGGUUUCUUUUUAGGCGCAGCUCAGUGGCUGUUUGGCGAAGCAUGCGGCGGUCGGAGGCGACGCCCUUCGCCGUAUAAUUGAAGGAGGAGAGUUUUGUUGACCGGAUAUGGUUUUUCUUGGAGAGAUUUGUGGUUAUCUGUGGUUUUUCUUGGCCGGAUCUGUGAUUUGCGUGAGGGAGAAGAGUAGACUGAGAAAGGAAGAGAGGGCGGCGGCUGUGGCUUGGCCGCUGGAGGACAGAUGAGGGCGGCGAUGUGUUGUCUCCGGCGACCGCUGCUGUUUUAUGAGAUGAGAGAGACGAGUUGGGGAAGUCGCAUCUGGUAGCUCUCUGAGCUUUGAUUGGUCUUGUUGGUGGAUGGAGAGGCAGCCGUUGAUUUAUGAGAUGAGGGGGACGAGUUGGGGAGUCCAAUUUAGUGGCUUUUCGCCGGAAACUGGAAAGAGGUGAUUUGGAGGGUUACAUUAUACAGAGGGCGGUGCUGCCGCUUGAGAGGUGCUCGGCGGUUGGCUGGGCGGAUUUGCGGCUGCCAGAUUUUGGAGGCGGCGAUGCCGCUUGUGCAUCUGUAUGUGCUGCGUCCCCAGCCAAUAAGGGGAGGGGGAGAGUUGACUCCGGCGGCUAUUAGUCGGAAAUUCAGCAGCAGCGGCGGCUAAGCACAUUUUUGCUGAUUUUCGUUUUUAUUUAAUGUUUAGUUUUUUGGAAAUUAUGAUGUCUGUAAAAAUGACAUUGACAGUUGUGUAGCGGCUGAAUUGGCUAUGUUGAGAGUAGAGUUGAAGCUAUUUUCCCAUUUUGGUUGUAAUACAGUACAGUAUAGCGAAGUAAAGCAAUUCCAGUCUCUUCAA